rnacentral:rRNA from 1 species
GAUGAACGCUGGCGGCGUGCUUAACACAUGCAAGUCGAACGGGAAGGCCCUGCUUGCAGGGUACUCGAGUGGCGAACGGGUGAGUAACACGUGGGUGAUCUGCCCUGCACUUCGGGAUAAGCCAGGGAAACUGGGUCUAAUGCCGGAUAGGAGCCAUUUUUAGUGUGAUGGUUGGACAGGUUUUUUCGGUGUAGGGUGAGCUCGCGGCCUAUCAGCCUGUUGGUGGGGUAAUGGGCUACCAAGCCGGCGACGGGUAGCCGGCCUGAGAGGGUGGACGGCGACACUGGGACUGAGAUGCGGCACAGACUCCUACGGGAGGCAGCAGUGGGGAAUAUUGCACAAUGGGCGCAAGCCUGAUGCAGAGACGCCGCGUGGGGGAUGACGGCCUUCGGGGUGGAAACUCCUUUCGCAAGGGACGAAGCAUUUUGUGACGGUACCUAGACAAGAAGCACCGGCUAACUACGUG